GGGAACCGCGCAUACCUCGCGGUCCCAGCCGCGAGGGGUGUUGCGUUUCGGUGGACCCGUCCCGCCCCAGCCGUUCGGCGCCUAAGUCACUGCUUGAAAGCAGCCCCCGGGAGGGUGAUAGGCCCGUGUGGCGGCGCCCGCCAGAGGGUCAGGGCGGUUGGGGCGGAGGGGUCUCCACCGCAGAGUCGGGUUGCUUAGUACUGCAGCCCUAAGCAGGUGGUAAACUCCAUCUAAGGCUAAAUACAAACCACGAGACCGAUAGAGAACAAGUACCGUGAGGGAAAGUUGAAAAGGACUUUGAAGAGAGAGUUCAAGAGGACGUGAAACCGUUAGAAGCCAAACGGGUGGAACCGCGAAGGUCGAACGAGGGGAUUCAGCCCGUCGGCCGGCAGAGGCGGUGGACGGCUCGCUCGACACGAGCGCGAGGACCGGGCGCGAGGCGUCCCGGCUCCGUCCCCGCCUCCCCCUUGCCGGCGGGCUUAUUUCUCCCUCCAGUAGGUCGCCGCGACCCGUGGCGGGGACCCCGAGGCCGUCCCGGACCGGGAGGCUCCCUGUGUUGGAGCCGACGCCGGGCGCGGUUCUGGCGGCCCCUGCGACGGUCACUGCGGGGAGGGCGCGUGCGCCCUCCCUCGCGGCGUGCAAGGNNNNNNNNNNNNNNNNNNNNNNNNNNNNNNNNNNNNNNNNNNNNNNNNNNNNGUGCCGGCGAGUCUAGGGCCACUAAACCCGGAGGCGAAAUGAAAGUGAGCAACGCUCCGUUGCAGGCCGAUCCCCGGCCGUCCGCGGUGACCGGGCCGGGCGGGAGUCCGCGUUCGCGCGCGGGCUUCCGAAUCCCGGGCCGGACCUCCGCGGCGGCCCUCGCCGUCUCACGGCGGCGAGCAGAGGGCGCAGGCCGAGGACUUGCCGCUCGGCGGCCCGGGGCGACGGGGGCCUCGCGCUCCCGUUCCCCGGCGUCCGCCGGCAAGUACCUGAGAGCGCACCCGUUGGGACCCGAAAGAUGGUGAACUAUGCCUGGCCAGGACGAAGCCAGGGGAAACCCUGGUGGAGGUCCGAAGCAGUUCUGACGUGCAAAUCGAUUGGCAGAGCUGGGUAUAGGGGCGAAAGACUAAUCGAACCAUCUAGUAGCUGGUUCCCUCCGAAGUUUCCCUCAGGAUAGCUGGCAUUCGGAGUCUAAAAUGGAUGAGUUUCAUCCGGUAAAGCCAAUGAUUAGAGGCCUUGGGGGUGCAAUGCCCUCAACCUAUUCUCAAACUUUAAAUGGGUGAGAUGUAGAGCGUGCUUGAUGGAGAUACACUCGAAGCUCUAUGAUGAAUCAGAAGGUCUUGGUGGCCACUUUUGG
rnacentral:rRNA from 1 species